AAAAGAUUACGCAUAGAUAAGUCUAGGAGUAACAAAUUUGGAGUAAAAAAAAAUAGUCAGGGUGACGUGGACAAAUCUCAGACAUCUAUUAUGUACCCAACAGUAGUUUCUAAAUUUGUACUAGACAUUUUUCCUGAUAAGGCCCGCCACUAACCACCCAAUCGACAAAGACUAAGGUUGCCUUCAAGUUGUUUGACAGAAAAUUAUUUUUCAGUGAGUGUAUGGCUGAUGGCUGAGAGAGAGACAGCUCUCAUAUCUAGCUUGUCGUGCACGCUGUGAUCGGUUGAAUAUAUAGUCUGUGAUGACAUUAUUUUCCAGCAAGUCUGUGGUACUAGCAUUCCUAAUUAUCAAAAGUGUUACAGUUUCUUGCACUUUCUGAGAGCAACAGUCAAGGUCUUCGUCCUAGACGUUGAAAGCACCGAGUUGCUAAAUAAAACCACAACUUGUUCGUCCAGUGAAGUUACUUCACUCCUUGUCAAUGCAUCACACACACCCAGACAUGGCGAUUGGAUUGCCGGUAUGGAUCUCCGUUGCGCUGUUGAUUGCUCUGUCCAUUGUGGCUUCUGCUUCUUCUCUAGGUCUGAGCAAGAGCAAUGGCAGCGACACCGACCUCGCUGCGCUUCUGGCUUUGAAAGUGCACUUCUCCGAUCCUGACAACAUCCUUGCCGGCAACUGGACCGCUGGCACACCGUUCUGCCAGUGGGUGGGUGUCUCGUGCAGCCGCCACCGGCAGCGCGUCACCGCCCUGGAGCUGCCGGGCAUUCCUCUCCAAGGAGAGCUCGGGCCUCACCUCGGUAACAUUUCUUUCCUCUCCGUCCUCAACCUCACCGAUACCGGCCUCACGGGCUCGGUGCCGGAUGAUAUAGGAAGGCUACAUCGCCUCAAGCUCAUUGAUCUUGGCCACAAUGCCCUUUCAGGUGGCAUCCCAGCCACCAUAGGGAACCUCAUGAGGCUUCAACUACUCCACCUCCCGUCGAACCAGCUAUCCGGUCCAAUCCCAAUAGAACUACAGGCCUUGCGCCGCCUUCGCAGCAUUGAUCUCAUUGGGAAUUACCUUACUGGCUCGAUACCGGACAGUCUAUUCAACAACACGCCUUUGUUAGCUUAUCUCAGUAUUGGCAACAACAGCCUGUCAGGACCUAUACCAGGUUGCAUCGGCUCUUUGCCAAUGCUCGAGUUGCUUGAGCUGCAGUACAAUAAUCUCACUGGGCCAGUGCCACAAGCCAUCUUCAACAUGUCUAGGUUAACUGUUGUUGAUCUUGGCUUUAAUAGCUUGACCGGCUCCAUCCCGGGCAACACAAGUUUCAGCCUCCCGGUUCUGCAGUGGUUCUCAAUCUCCCAUAAUAGAUUCACCGGUCAAAUUCCACCAGGACUCGCAGCGUGUCCGUACCUCCAAGUUCUUCGCGUCGGUGACAAUCUAUUUGAGGGUGUUUUCCCUUCGUGGCUGGCCAAGUCGACGAAUCUCAGUGAUGUUUCUUUGAGUAGGAAUCACCUUGAUGCUGGCCCAAUCCCUGCUGCACUUAGCAACCUCACCAUGCUAACCAGACUAGGCCUUGAAAUGUGCAACCUAAUAGGGGCCAUCCCUGUGGGUAUUGGACAACUAGGCCAACUUUCAGUGCUGGAUCUUACAACCAAUCAACUAACAGUAGUUGCAGCGGUAACUUGUUGCCUAUAUGGAAUAAUUAGAAAGAAAGUUAAGCAUCAAAAUAUUUCUUCUGGUAUGCUUGACAUGAUCAGCCACCAAUUACUCUCCUACCAUGAGCUUGUUCGCGCUACCGAUAAUUUCAGUGAAGACAAUAUGUUGGGAUCUGGAAGCUUCGGAAAAGUUUUUAAGGGCCAGUUGAGUAGCGGUUUGGUGGUUGCCAUAAAAGUUAUACACAACCAUCUGGAACAUGCCAUGAGAAGCUUUGAUACUGAGUGUCGUGUGCUUCGAAUGGCUCGACAUCGCAACUUGAUAAAGAUAUUGAACACAUGCUCCAACCUGGAGUUCAGAGCAUUGGUUCUUCAGUACAUGCCUCAGGGUAGCUUAGAAGCACUCCUACACUCGGAAGAAAGGAUGCAGUUAGGCUUUCUCGAGAGGUUGGAUAUUAUGCUAGAUGUGUCAAUGGCAAUGGAAUACCUGCACCAUGAGCACUAUGAGGUGGUCGUACACUGUGAUUUGAAGCCUAGUAAUGUGCUAUUCGAUGAUGAAAUGACGGCACAUGUGGCAGACUUUGGCAUUGCGAGGUUGUUACUAGGCGAUGAUAACUCUACGAUCUCUGCAAGCAUGCCAGGAACAAUUGGUUACAUGGCACCAGAGUAUGGGGUUCUUGGAAAAGCGUCACGGAAGAGCGAUGUGUUCAGCUAUGGGAUCAUGCUACUUGAAGUGUUCACUAGGAAGAGACCCACAGAUGCCAUGUUUGUGGGAGAUCUGAGCAUCAGGCAGUGGGUUCACUGGGCAUUUCCUAUAGAUCUUGUCCAUGUUGUCGAUGGCCAGCUUCUACAGGACACCUCUUGUUCUACCAGUAGCAUUGAUGGAUUCCUUAAGCCAGUCUUCGAGCUGGGCUUGCUCUGCUCGGCUGACUCCCCAGAGCAAAGGAUGGAAAUGAAGGAUGUGGUCGUGAUGCUGAAGAAGAUUAGGAAGGACUAUGUCAAAUCGACAGCAAAGACAGGCAGCAAUGCCCAGCAGUGAACCAUAGCCCUCAAUAA